AUCUGUUCUUAUCAGUUUAAUAUCUGAUACGUCCCCUACCCGGGGACCAUAUAUUAAAUAGAUUUUUGGAACUGGGAGAUGGAAAUGGGGCUUGCCCCGUCCACUCCACGCAUCGACCUGGUAUUGCAGUACCUCCAGGACCGGUGC
rnacentral:snRNA from 10 species